rnacentral:rRNA from 1 species
AUUGAACGCUGGCGGCAGGCUUAACACAUGCAAGUCGAACGAAGGGAGGACGGGAGAGACAUGCUUGGGACUAUAGCUUAUGGAGGGGGAAAACUACGGGAACCUGUCGCUCAUACCGCUUACCAAAGGAUGAGCGCAAGAGGGAUGAGGUAGUUGGUGAGGUAAAGGUGCACCAAGCCGACGACUUGUAGCUGGUAUGAGAGGAUGCCCGGCCACACUGGGACUGGGACACGGCCCAGACUCCUACGGGAGGCAGCAGUGGGGAAUAUUGCGCAAGGGGGGCAAUCUGACGCAGCCAUGCCGCGUGAAUGAAGAAGGCCUUCGGGUUGUAAAGUUCUGUCGGUAGCGAGGCGUUAACUACAGAAGAAGCACCGGCUAACUCCGUGCCAGCAGCCGCGGUAAUUC